UUCCCUAAUAUGUCAUCUCUAAAGGUUUUUGCUGUGGUUAUACUCUGAUUUAUAACUAGUGUAAGCACAGAAAUCAAUGUUUAAUUUUUAUAUGUAUAGUUUAAUUAAUAGGGGAAACCCUCGCAAGUAAUGAGGGGAACAUGAUGAGUUUGCUAUAGUUACACAGAGCUUUUUCGGGGGGAGAGAACGUAGCGAAGUGAGCGGCAGACUAGCCUGGUUGUAACCUCCAGAAACAGCAGCGUUAUUAAAACAUACCACCGAAGUGGAUAAGCGAGUUCCUUGUCUUCAAUUCACCUCCCGCGAGCCGAAGAUCCCCCGUCCUCUGGGGAAGAAGAAAAGCACACAUGGAGGAAAAUUCCAGGAAAUUUGUUUGAUCUUGAGUCAGCUUGCAGUGAAACCAGGGCGUCCAGUUUGGCGAGAAGGGUGUCAGCACAUGGAGCAGACGGAGACAGGAAGACCCCACAGCUCUGGGCACCAGAGCCUAGGCCCCCACACCAGUUAAAAGCCCUGGUGAAAUACACUGUCAACAAAACAGCUCAUAAGGAUUCUGAUUGCUGUUACAUCAAAGGGAACAUCUAAAAGGGACACAGCAGACCCCUUCCUUGAUAAGGCACAAUAUAAGUAAUUGCUAUAUUUGGCAAGCUGCUGCAGAUAUGGAUGAAAGACAGGACAGACAUCCAUCUGAGCUGGGUGUGUGCUGUGUGGAGGCGUGUCUGGUGUGUGUGUCUGG